rnacentral:rRNA from 1 species
CCAAUAGCGUAUAUUAAAGUUGUUGCAGUUAAAAAGCUCGUAGUUGAAUUUCGGGGUUCAUCCGUUGGUCGGGCUUUUUGGUCUGUACUGGCGUGAUGGAUUCCUACCUUCUGGAUAACCAGCAUGUCAUUAAUUUGGUGCGCUGGGGAAGCAGGACUGUUACCUUGAAAAAAUUAGAGUGCUUAAAGCAGGCUAUCGCCUGAAUACAUUAGCAUGGAAUAAUGAAAUAGGACGGCAUGGUUCUAUUUUGUUGGUUUCUAGGAUCGCCGUAAUGAUUAAUAGGGAUAGUUGGGGGCAUUAGUAUUCAAUUGUCAGAGGUGAAAUUCUUGGAUUUAUUGAAGACUAACUUCUGCGAAAGCAUUUGCCAAGGAUGUUUUCAUUAAUCAAGAACGAAAGUUAGGGGAUCGAAGACGAUCAGAUACCGUCGUAGUCUUAACCAUAAACUAUGCCGACUAGGGAUCGGACGAUGUAAAUUUUUUAAUGACUCGUUCGGCGCCUUACG